AGCAGCUCACUGGGUGUAAAGCGUGCGCAGGCGGUUUUGUAAGACAGAGGUGAAAUCCCCGGGCUCAACCUGGGAACUGCCUUUGUGACUGCAAGGCUGGAGUGCGGCAGAGGGGGAUGGAAUUCCGCAUGUAGCAGUGAAAUGCGUAGAUAUGCGGAGGAACACCGAUGGCGAAGGCAAUCCCCUGGGCCUGCACUGACGCUCAUGCACGAAAGCGUGGGGAGCAAACA
rnacentral:rRNA from 1 species